UACGUAGGGUGCGAGCGUUAAUCGGAAUUACUGGGCGUAAAGCGUGCGCAGGCGGUUUUGUAAGCCAGAUGUGAAAUCCCCGGGCUCAACCUGGGAACUGCAUUUGGGACUGCAAGGCUAGAGUACGGCAGAGGGGGGUAGAAUUCCUGGUGUAGCAGUGAAAUGCGUAGAUAUCAGGAGGAAUACCGAUGGCGAAGGCAGCCCCCUGGGUCGAUACUGACGCUCAUGCACGAAAGCGUGGGGAUCAAACAGG
rnacentral:rRNA from 1 species